rnacentral:rRNA from 1 species
UACAGAGGGUGCGAGCGUUGUCCGGAAUCACUGGGCGUAAAGGGCUCGUAGGCGGUUUGUCGCGUCGGGAGUGAAAUCCACUGGCUUAACUGGUGGCUUGCUUUCGAUACGGGCAGACUGGAGGUAUGCAGGGGAGAACGGAAUUCCUGGUGUAGCGGUGAAAUGCGCAGAUAUCAGGAGGAACACCGGUGGCGAAGGCGGCAUCCUGGACCAACACUGACACUGAUGAGCGAAAGCCAGGGGAGCAAACGGG